CCUGUUUCUGCUGUGAGACUGGUGGCCAACAACUUUUGGAAUUCAAAAGCUCUGUCAGUCUGUUUUGAUUUUUCUCUGGCUCCUCCCUCUCUUACCGCUGGCUGAAUGGCAACUCCGAAGUCACAGCCAGUAAUGGAAUUCAGCUUAGUGAUGGGAACAGUACUCUCACCAUAGUCAGUGUGACUCGAUACAACGAUGGGCCAUUUAGCUGUAAUGCUUUCAGCACCGUCAGUAAUGGAACCACUAAGCCUCUACAUCUCAGUAUCAGCUGUCUACUCUGACCAUGUCCUGCUCUGCCCAGUCCAACCCUCAGGCUGAGUUUCAAUUUUGCUUUCAAUGGGAACCAUCUGAAUGGGAUAAAUCCAGAUCUGAAGCUAUACAGUGCUGUGGAGAGCCAGAGUGGCCUAAGCUCCUGCCUGGCUUUCAACAACAGAACCAUGAGCUACAGCAACAUCACCAGACAGAUCACCAUCAGCUGUGGUUCAGUGUCAGUACAGCUGGGGAUUUCUGGACCUGUCAUCCUGAGAAGGAACAUUUCUGCUGUAAUUGCAUCCUGAUGCAGAAUAUAUCUCUCAUUCCACUAUCAUGCUGUCGAUGGAAUUAUUUCUCUGAACAUUUUAGCAAAACAUCUUUCAUUGUCUUUUUUCAUUAUUGAAGAUUUAUUCUUCCAGAUUAGUAUCACAAUGAAUAAUCAUAUAUGAAGAAUCAUAUAUCAUGUACAGUAUUUCAACACCUCUCAGUACUGUAAUUUGCUCGAGACCUGGUGGAAUAACCAAAGUAUAUCAAGCAUUCUUGUUGGAAUAUGACUCUGAUUUGAAUAUAAAGUUCUUAAUUGUUUUGAUAAAGUUGUUUUAAACAAACUAUUAUUUUCAAUAAAUCUGAAUGUUCAAUAAUGGUACACAGUGCAUUCAUUCAACAUGUUCUACAGUAUAUGGAAAGGAAAGGUAUGUGCUGAUUUAACAGAACAAUACUAACACAUCACUCCUACUCCUUAUUGUUUUGUGCUGACUGAAAACAAGUCAUAAAGCAUGCCUCAUUUGAGACAGUAUAGAUUAUGAUCAAAUAAGUU
rnacentral:lncRNA from 1 species